CUGGAACACCUGAAACUAUAGCUUCCAUCAGCGAAUUCCAUCCACAGUGCGUCAGAAAUGCAGCGACGGAGCUAUGCUGCAAAACCUUCAUCUGAGGAGCCCAGGUCCAAGCGAGCAACCCACAGGAAUGCGUACUCACUUUGUUCCAAACCGUUGGCAAGCUCCUGAGUGUCGUUCAAAGAGAGAGUUGCCAAACUUCCAAAGGAUAUGUAGAGAACGGACUGAGGUGGCUGCUCGUCGAGCCAAUUCAUGCAGCAGAGUUCUUGCUCCCACACAGAGCGACUAUACUCUUUUGAAGGUCGUCAAAGGAAUUUACUAGUGCCCACGCGUCACUGUCGUCGAUGGACAUUCGGUGCCUGAUAUGGUCUUCACGGCCAUCUAAGAACCUAGAAGGAAGGUAGUGUGCGGGAAUCGGAGGGAGCCCGGGGAUACUGUCUAAAGUUCCUCCUGAAAAGAUUCUCUCGAAGGAAAGGAAUGUAGCAGGAUAUCAACGCGAAUGUUGCAGAAGACGUCCAGAAGCAUGCUCGGCUGAACC